GACGUAGGAUGCGAGCGUUGUCCGGAUUUAUUGGGCGUAAAGAGUUCGUAGGUGGUUCAUUAAGUCUGGUGUUAAAGACCGGGGCUCAACCUCGGGAUCGCACUGGAUACUGGUGGACUGGAGUGCAGUAGAGACAAGCGGAAUUCCCAGUGUAGCGGUGAAAUGCGUAGAUAUUGGGAAGAACACCGGUGGCGCAAGCGGCUUGUUGGGCUGUAACUGACGCUGAUGCGCGAAAGCUAGGGGAGCAAACGGG
rnacentral:rRNA from 1 species